rnacentral:rRNA from 1 species
CCUACGGGGGGCUGCAGUGGGGAAUAUUGCACAAUGGGGGGAACCCUGAUGCAGCAACGCCGCGUGGGUGAAGAAGUACUCCGGUAUGUAAAGCCCUGUCAGCAGGGAAGAAAAUGACGGUACCUGACCAAGAAGCCCCGGCUAACUACGUGCCAGCCGCCGCGGUAAUACGUAGGGGGCAAGCGUUAUCCGGAUUUACUGGGUGUAAAGGGAGCGUAGACGGCAGCGCAAGUCUGGGGGGAAAUGCCGGGGCCCAACCCCGGAACUGCUUUGGAAACUGUGCAGCGGGAGUGCAGGAGAGGUAAGCGGAAUUCCUGGUGUAGCGGUGAAAUGCGUAGAUAUUAGGAGGAACACCGGUGGCGAAGGCGGCUUACUGGGCUGUAACUGACGUUGAGGCUCGAAAGCGUGGGGAGCGAACAGGAUUAGAUACCCUUGUAGUC